UACGAAGGGGGCUAGCGUUGCUCGGAAUCACUGGGCGUAAAGGGCGCGUAGGCGGCCGAUUAAGUCGGGGGUGAAAGCCUGUGGCUCAACCACAGAAUUGCCUCGAUACUGGUUGGCUUGAGACCGGAAGAGGACAGCGGAACUGCGAGUGUAGAGGUGAAAUUCGUAGAUAUUCGCAAGAACACCAGUGGCGAAGGCGGCUGUCUGGUCCGGUUCUGGAUGCUGA
rnacentral:rRNA from 1 species